CACGUAGGCACCAAGCGUUGUCCGGAUUUAUUGGGCGUAAAGAGCUCGUAGGCGGUUCGGUAAGUCGGGUGUGAAAACUUUGGGCUCAACCCAAAGCCUGCACCCGAUACUGCUGUGACUCGAGUCCGGUAGGGGAGUGGGGAAUUCCUGGUGUAGCGGUGGAAUGCGCAGAUAUCAGGAGGAACACCGGUGGCGAAGGCGGGUCUCUGGGCCGAUACUGACGCUGAGGAGCGAAAGCGUGGGGAGCGAACAGG
rnacentral:rRNA from 1 species